UUUUGUCAAAAUUGGUUGCGUUCGUACGUAUUAAUUUGGAAUGUUUUUUUUUUUUUUUUUUGUGUGGUCAAAUUUGUUAAUUUUAACAAUUAAUUUCAUAUUUAUACCUAAAUCACACGUAAUUUAAGAACCAAAAUGCUUUUUUUUUUUAAAUGAAAACAAUGUAACCUUUUUCCAUUUUAUGAAUUAUACGUGAUUUUAAGAAAACUUUCUAGUUACUUUUUAUGAAUAAACAUACUAAUGGUUUUAAAAUAUAUAAUGUAUCGUAUUAUUUAAUUUUUCAUGAACCAAAAAUUUCUUAUUGUUUUAUAAAUAAAAAGAAUGUGUAUAUAUUUGUUUACUAUUUUGAUGGACAAUAAUAUACUAAUUUUUUAAAAUUUACCUAGGAUGUUUUUUUAAAUAACGUACCUACUACAAAGUAACGUACCUGUUAUGAAUGGUAUGUUGUAUAUUAGGUGCAUUAUUAUAUGUAGGUAAAUUAGUGUGGGCGCAAAAUAUAGGUAAAAUAAUGUACCUAUUUGUAAAUAAUGUACAUAUAUUUCAUUUUGUAAAUAAUGUACUUAUAUUUUCUAUAAAGAAUGUAUUAAUAGCUAUAUAUAUUUUUAUUAUUUUUAUAAGUACAUUAUUUAUUGGAUAUGUAAUUUAGGGAUUUUAGUUUUUGGUUUAAAUUUUUUUUAGAAAUUGCCAAUGGGUUAGAAGGGAGUGCCAAGCAAAAGAAAGAGGUGAUUGAUAUGCUAUUAAUAGGGAAUAUUAAUUAUAUUUGAGGUAGUUAAUGACGUGCUUGAAAAUAAAUAUGAAAGGUAAAUGACAUAUAUUGUAAUUUAUGUGAUUUGGUCUAUCUCAUAACCAUCGCCCAGAGCCCCAUAUUGUGCCCCUUACACCCCAUCUAGGGCUGUCAAUGGCUCGUGUCGUGUCGAAGUCGUGUCAUGUCAAGAUUAUGUACAUGUUAAGAAUGCUCAACCCAAACCCGACCUAUUUAAUAAACAUGUCAUGCACGAGUUGACCCAUUAAUUUCUCAUGCGGGUUUCGGGUCGUGUCGAGUUGACCCGCUAAGUAGUUGCAACUAAAAGAUAUUAAAAAAGAAGAAAAAUGAAGAAUAAACAAAUAAACGGGUUAGUGGGUUGGCGGGUUACAAUGGUAUUUUAGCGCGGUGGUGGGUUACAUAGGUAUUUUAGUUGGUUAGCGGGUUUACCUGCCAUGACCCGUUUUGUUAAAUGGGUUAUAUAAGUAUUUUUGCGGGUUGGCGGGUUGACCCAAAACUCACCCGUUUAUGAAACGAGUCAUGCGAGUUGAUCCAAAAAUGACCCGAAUUUUAAUCGUGCUGGUUGAACCCUCUAAAUUCUCGUGCGAGUUUCAAGUCGUGUAACGGGUCGUACCCGAAAUUGCCACCCCUAACCCCAUCCUCCAUGCCCCCUCCUCAUAUCCCUCUAUCUCUCUUCCUUAGCGAGAGGCUAUUGUAGACUGACGAUUUCAAGAUCUCGUCAAGUUGGCUAGCCAUGGUGGUUUUUACAGCAACAAUUUUGAUGUAGAUGAUGACUGAAAAUUCUUUAUUUAGGAAACUAAAGGCAGAGGGGAGAAAGAGGAAGUGAUAUGGAUAGAGUGGGUAUAGGGUGUUGGGUUUAGGUAUGGGGUCUAUUAAGGUGGAUGUGGGUAGGGGAUGGGGGUUGGGAUUGGAGUGUCAAAAGUCUUAGUUACCCCCACAAAUAUAACAUGUGUUGUUCACGUGACUAAAUUUAAUAGAAAAUAUGACAGUAACAUGUGCUGCUCAAAAUAUAUGCAUAUUAAAAAGCCCUAUUAGAAAAGGAAAAAAAAAAACAUAAUUGAUGAAUGAAUUUUGUGUCUUUUCUUGUAAAGAGAGCAGUGGUAGCAGUAUAUUGUUGUCACAAUAUGAAACCGAACUAACCCUUAUCACUUACCAUUUCCAUAGAUAAAUCAUAACAAUAAGGAGUAUUUAUCAACCUUUUUUUUUUUCCAUUAUCAUAUAGAUGUAAUGUAUUUUGAAAUGACUAUUUAACCCUUUCGAAUUUUUAUAAAUGAUUAGGUAUAAUUAAAAAAAAUCAUCUUCUUCUUCGUAUGGGAGUGUUCCGAUAAUGUUGAAUAAUUGAAAGAAAAUAAUAUUCAAGGAUAAACUUAAAUACAAAUGAAGAACAUAGGAUACUUAACCCUCUUGCGUUGCACAUCUCCCUUUUUGGUUGAAAUUGUACAUUUAAUUCUUCUAUUAGUUUUAUUUAUUAUUAUUUUAAAAUUCAACUAAUUAAUUCUAGAUUGUAAAAAUAGAAAGAGAUAAUAAAUUCCCAACUCAACUUUUGGUUUCUUCUUGUCACAAAUGCAUGGUACACCCCCAUCAAUCUCAAGCAUUGUGGGAUGCAUUUCCAAAGCCACACCCACACACAUGCCAUCAGGUAGGCGCUUUAAAGUUGGACAGCUAAAUUUUACCGACGAUCGAUAUGCAUUACAAUCGUGAAAUUAAAAUUUCUGGGAUAAUUGGCCUUUAAAUGUGGCAUGUUCCAACCAAUUACCCAAGGUCAAUUGUGGGGAUUUUGAAAUUUUCACUUUUAAGGCUUUUUAUCUUAAAAUAUAUAGAAGAUAGAUUAUUAUAACUAGGUCCUUGACACAUGCUCACGCAUGUGCCAAUUGGUUUUCUUUUUCUUUUUUAUUUUAUUUUUAGAAUUAAUAAAAGAUAAUAGGGUAGUUAUGUUCCAUAAAAGUAGGACCUAUUAUCUUAUUUUGUUUUUAAUUUUAAUUUUUUUAAUAUUAAAAAAUAUGAAUUUACCAUAUUAUCCUCAUUUAAUUAAUAAUUUCAAUUCUUAAUGUUUGAAUUAACAAAGGGCAUUUUCUGGUAUUUUGAAUGUUUCACCAUUUUCUGCCUUUUGCUUUAUAUAUACUAGCCUCUCUGCACGCGCUUCCGCGCUUGCGAGAGGUUUUUUAAAAAAAAUAAGUAAAUUUAUUUUAGAAUUAAAAAAGAUAAUGGGUAGUUGUGUUCCAUAAAAAUAGGAUCCAUUAUCUGCUUUUUCUUUUUCUUUUAAUUUUUUUAAAUAUGAAAAAGUGUGAAUUUACCAUAUUAUCCUCAUUUAAUUAAUAAUUUGAAUUCUUAAUGUUUGCAUUAACCAAGGGCAUUUUCUGGUAUUUUGAAUGUUUCACCAUUCUCUGCCUUUUGCUUUAUAUAUAUAGAUAAAUGAAUAGGGUAUUUCAUCAAAUUACCUUCUGAAUUUGUACAUAAUUAUUAAUUUACUUCUUGACUUUUUAAUAGACGGUAGAGGGAACAUUAGGAAUAAAAGUUAGUACUAGACCUUAAUUUUCUAAAUAAAAAAGGUCAUGGGGUAAAUUAAUAAUUAGGUACAAGUUCAGUGGGUAAUUUUAUGAAAUACCCUAAUUAAUGAAAAAUGAGUUUAUUAGCUAGCAAAAUUCUUAUUAAGAAAAAAAUUUAACUGGUGAUUUGUCCCCUGAACUUAUACCCAAGUUUUGUUUUAUACCAUAUCAUUUUUUUGUUAGAAAAUUAAGGACUCGAACUAAUUUUUUUCACCAAUUUACCCCCUGACGUCAAAAUUUGCCACUUCCGAUUCAUUCUACCAUCAAGUUGAUGUUUUGGUGGAGAUGCGAAAUGAAAAAAGUAACCUCCAACUUGACGGCGGAAUGGAUGAGAAGUGGCAGAUUUUGACAUCCGGAGGCAAAUUGGUAAAAAAAUUAGUUCGGGUCCUUACUUUUCAAAAAAAAAAAAGAAGAGAUAAGGGGUAAAUUAAAACCUAAGUACAAGUUAAGGGCAAAUCACCGGUUAAUCCUAAAAACAAGAGUAACUAACAACAAAGCAUAGUUCAACAACUGAGAAUCAAACCAAUUCGAAGACAAUUGCAAGGCUGAGAAUGAAAUCAGUUCAGAAACCACUGCAUAUUCUCUCCCUUGCCUCAAAAUCCACUAUCACACCACGCACAUUUUCCACUUCCACUUCUGCUAUUGAUUCAAUUACUGCACCGAAACCAACCAAUCAAACUCAGACUCAAAGUCUAACUCAAGAAGAGCACACAAAGAUCAACCUCCUCCUCCCACGCCUCUGCCUCUUAAACCACCUCGACACAGCAACCCACCUCACCAUCACAGCCCUGCUCACAAACCCACCUCUCAAAUCUCUCUCUUUGUCCAUUCUCAUCCACUCCUUCACUUCCCAACCCGACAUGGCCCGACCCAUGUCACUUUUAACCCGCCUCAGGCACAACCCACCUUCACAUCCCUAUCUCACGCCCAUCACAACCAUGUUCAUUGCCUCAUAUUUCAAGAAAAAUAAACCCAAAGAGGCCCUCAAAAUGUUCAACUGGUUGGUAAGGCCAGGCUCUCCAUGUGUGCUCGAUGAGAGAGUUUGUGAGGUUUUGGUUAAUGGGUUCUGUAAGAAUGGGAUGGUUCUUGAGGCUUUGAAGGUUUUGAGGGCCAUGCUGAGUACGAAUAUCGUGCCGGGAUGUGAUCUGAAGAAGUGGGUUUAUAAGGUUUUGUUGAGGGAGGCUAGGAUUAAGGAGGCAGUGGAGUUGAAUGAGGCUUUGGGUUGUGUUGGGGAUAGAGAGAAAGGUGAUGAAUCAGAAUGUGUGAAGAAGGUUUUGGCUUUGUUGGAUCACAUGAUUGGCAAUUGGGCAGAAUAGAGCAGGUAUAGGUUUCUGGACGAUUGCUUACAAAUGACUUAUCUUUGCUUUCAAUUAGAGGUCCUUUUAUGAAUACCUUUUACAAAUUACUUAUCUUUGUUAUAAGAUGCGGACAAUUUAUCUGUGUGGUAUUGAAACUUUUUGUAUUAGUUCUCAAUUGAAGAACAAUUUUUUUUUUCUUGACCCUAAGUUUGUAAUAUUUGCAUUGAUAUGGCCAAAAUUUGAACUGAAUUUUUUUCAUGAAUUAAAAUAGCCAAUAAAUAGCAUUCUCAGCUGAUAGGAAUGUUCUUCUGCUUUCGUGUGCUUUCAGAAAAUGAGAUUUUCUGAAACGAAUGUCUUAUCAAGCUAGUACUCACCUUAAGUGCUUUCUUGGAGUGUUUCUUUUGUUCAGUCUUCCGUUUGGUAGGAUGAUGCUAUGAUAGAACUAUAUAUUCACUUACCAACAGGGAGUCAUUUCUGUGUGAUUUCAGGUACUAUGUCGAUGUAAACAUAAUUCCUUUUCAUAUGUACCGGAGUAGGUAUCUUUAGAACAAUGUUGAUUGUGAUGGUAUCUACUGUCUCGACUUAAUAACUCAAGAUGAAGAAUUUUCUUUCUUACAUGAUAUGGUACUCAACUACAUGUUUGGUUUUGAAUGUAGUGUGGCUUAGAAUUAAGUUCUCCUCCUUCAAUUGUUCAACAUUAGGUAUAUUGUUCAUAUUUCCUAUAUAAAGUUUGAUAAUCGGCCUUAGCCUUCCAGAAAGGAUUAUAUCUUUUCCAUUCGCCUAACUAAUUUUAAAUACCAAACUGUGAACAGUAUUUUACCAUGCUGUGUGUGUAUGCAAUCUAUCAUGUGAUCCAUUUGUGCUCCGUAAUAGUUUCAAAGACUACUAGCUAUUGCCUCUGUCAGGAUGAAUUCAAUUCUGAUUACUUUCUCUAUCUCUAGUAGACUUGAUACCAUUUUGCUUGAUGUUUUUUUUUUUUUGGGGGUCAAACAUCUUGCUUGAUUUCAAUUUUCAAGUAAAGGCCACUGUUAUUACUGUUAAAGAGAGUAGCUUUCUACAGAGAACAGGUGUUUUCUUUAAAUUGGUAACAUGAUUCAUGCAUUCUUAAACUCUAGGUCUGUAUCAUCACUGGCCUUCUUCUAUGUAGUAAGCAUUAUAUUUAGGUCAUACUAAAUUAAAAAAUAUGGCCAAUCUCUUUUAGUGGGUAUGAAAUUGUGAAUUGUAUUUUAAAUUGUUCAUUAAGUUGUAAGUCAGCAAGUCUCAUGCACUACUUGAGCCUGUUUAAUUGUGUUUAAUUGAUCUUUUCAUUGAUGCUAGUAUUUCUGUAACCGGCUCUUGGAAAGGUGUAAGGUGCCGCACUUUUGUGAAGAUUGCUGUUUACUACUGCAUGAUGUUUGGGGAUCUGCUGUUGCUAUUACAUGUUCCAUAGCUAAGGGCUUCAGAGCUGUAAACAAAGUCCUGCAUUCUGCACAGGGUCUGGCCGUUAUAGUUCUGCAUUCUGCAUAGGGUCUGGCUGUUAUAAUCCUGCAUUCUGUACAGUGUCUGUCCUUUCGUAUGCCAUUUUCAUCUUCUGUUUUAGAGGCAGUUGAGCAGAAAAGAUUGCCUUAGUGCGUUUGUGAAAUGGUGAUUGUUGCUGAGUACCAGCAGGGUAGAAGCAUGGCACUGAGACGUGAAGAAAUCACAGAUAGCAUCAUGCCUAUGGCACAUUGGGUUUUGUUGUGCUCCCAUUCUUUGAUGGAGGCCUCUUUUGGGUGGACCUGUGGCUGAGUCUUUCCACAAUCAAUUGUAACCGAAAAAGAAGAAAAGCCUCAGAGAACUUCCGAGGUCCUAGGAUGUCAAGGCAUGAAAAAUGUUGUCUGUUUUUUCCCUUGAUCCCUCAAACUUGAUAUUGUAAUGGUGUAUUUGUGACAUUGCCAAAUAUGCCAAGUUAUAUCAACUGAUAUUGGUAUGUAAAUUUUGACUGAGACAGCAUGUGAAUGCAAUGUUCAACUCCAUCACUUGAGAGGGCACUUGGAUUCCAUAACCGGAAAAGAUGCUACAUUUUAUGUCAAUAUUCAAGAGUCCUCAGAGGAUUUUUAUGGGCUUUGUUCAUACUUAACAAUGCACAUAAGAGGAAAUUUUAGUACAAAGUUAUUUCUCUUCUCAAUUAUAAAUUUGAAUCCCUUCCCUCUUAUUUCUCUUCUUAAUGUGGGAAUGAUUUCAAAAUUAAAUCUCCUCUCACUCUUGAUAUAAAAAAGACAUUACUUCCGUCUUACAGAUCACAGUUUGAUACAUAUACAAAAACAACUCAUCGAAAAUACAAAGAGGAAAAUUUUUGCACACCUGUAAAUUGUGAAUGACAUAAUGUAAGUAGGGAUGGCCACACCAAGAGGACACUGGCAUUUCAAUUAAUCAAUAAUAUUUUCUUUUUCUAAUUGGAAAAUAAAAUAAUAAUAAUAAUAAUAAUAAAAGAGAAGUACAUCUUUAAACUUGAAAAGAUAGAUUUUUGGAAUGAAACAAGAUGAUUACGGUAGGGAAAAGAACCAAAGUUAUUAAAAUAUAUAUAUAUAUUAAAAAAAGAGCACAAAAACAUGUCUUUUCUCGUACUCAUUCAUUCGAGUUUAAAACACUGAAACAGGGGAGGACACUGUCAAAAGUGGAUAACGUUUCCCAGUUCGUCACUUACUUCUAACACUUGUUGCUGCUGCUUUGGUUGCUUUGCUGCCAUCAAAUAUGUUGUUGGAGUUUCAAUUCUAAUACUGUCUCUUCUCUCCAAUGGCCUCUUCUUCUCUUCCUCUGCAUCACCCCUCCCAUUGCCUCAUCUCCAAUCGUCAGGUUCCAUCUCUUUCUCUCUCUCAUUUUCUUUAUUUUUUUAAUCUGUCUGAUUAAUUUUGAUGCGUGUCUGAAGCAGUUGAAAGGUUCCAACUAUGGAUGGUCACCACUACCCAGAUAUACUGUCCCUACUAAAGACGCAGUAAAAGGCAUUCGAAUUCAACCCAUUAAAGCAAAAGCAGCCACCGAAGCUCCUCCGUUCUCUUUGUUUCAGCCUCCUGAAGCUGAAGGGUCUGCCUCUGAGGUAAUACCCAUUUCUUGUUCUCCUUUAUGCUCUGUUUGAUUGCUCAGAAAAUGUAGGGAAAUUGAAUUUAGAACACUGAAACAAUUUUCAAAAUUUAAGGUAACAUUUUGUUAACAAUUAAGUUGUAUCCGCUUUGUUUUGUGGCCUCUUAACUGAAAAUUGCAUCUUUUAAAUGAAAGAAAGUAUCUUCGAAGUGUUUGGUGGUAACCACACAAUUAUGUUCAUAAAAAACCAGAAGAGCAUAUAUGUAGUAUUAAACCAAUAGGGGAGAGAGCCAUACUUGGUUUAACUUCACUGCAACAUUCACACCUUUAUUUUGUAAUGCCUACAGUUGGAGCCAGCGGACCCUGAUUUCUACAAGAUAGGGUAUGUUAGAAGUAUGAGAGCUUAUGGAAUUGAAUUUAAAGAAGGACCAGAUGGGUUUGGAGUUUAUGCUUCCAAGGAUGUUGAACCACUUCGCCGGGCUAGAGUGAGUUGUUUCUAUCCGAUUAUAAUAAUCUGUUGCACUUACUAUAGAGUGUGUGUGAGUACAGCUCCAUGCAUAAUGCCACAUUAAGUGUCAGUGUCUCUGAUGGUUUUGACAGCCCUUGGUUUAUGAUGAAGUGUUGAGUUCCAAUGACUAGUUUUUGGUAUUAAUGUUGCUUUGUUCUCAAUUUCACAGGUAAUAAUGGAAAUUCCACUAGAACUGAUGUUAACUGUAAGCCAAAAGCUCCCAUGGAUGUUUUUUCCAGAUAUAGUACCAGUGGGUCAUCCAAUAUUUGAUAUCAUUAACUCAACUGAUCCAGAGGUAAAUGUGUUUUACUUAAUUUCAGCUAUCAAGGAUUGAUAGCUGAUUUGUAUAAUCAUUCAUUUACUGGGAAAAUUUUUUUGUCAAUUAUUCUAGUAUUUCUUCAUGGAAAUAGCAUUUUGUUCAAAUUAUGAAUUGACAUUCAAUUUCUAUUGCCUUCCUUUUUGUGGCAGACAGAUUGGGAUCUGAGGUUAGCAUGCCUUCUUUUGUACGCAUUUGAUCGGGAAGAUAACUUUUGGCAGUUGUAUGGUGAUUUUUUACCCAGUGCAGAUGAGUGCCCCAGCUUGCUUCUAGCUAGUGAGGUAGAUGAAUUUACAAAACAUAAAUCUUUAUUUAUAGUAUUUUUUUUUUAAUAAAAAAAAAACUUGCGUAGUUUAGUACUAUUUAUUUCUUUUGGCUUCAUUCAUGAGUUCAUGAGUGAUAAAAAUAAACAUAGGCAUGCAUCUUUCUUCUUUGAUUUAUACCUAUAAGAUCUAGAGCUUUAACAUGUAUUGCAAUUUUUAGAUUUGAGGCUCUUCUUGAGCAAAGCAUCAGGUAAAAUUUUAGAAGGCCAAUUUAAAGCUUAAACUUGAAAUUGUCAUUUGUUAUUAAGAUUUGCAUCCAAGGCCUUCAGUGUGCCUGAUGUCGCAGACACAUCUGUAGCUGUCAUGUAGCCUUCGAUAAUGCAUCCACAUUGUUUGGGCCUCUUGAAGUUUUGUAAAUAAGUACUCUUAAUCAUGCUUUUCUUAGCUUUUGCUCCAUAUAUGCUAUAGGAGGAGCUUUCAGAACUGCAGAAUCCCAAUCUUGCUUCAACUAUGAGAGAACAGCAACGUCGAGCCUUGAAAUUUUGGGAAAAAAAUUGGGUAUUUAGCAGCCUCUGUAUCUUGUAUCUCAGAAAGCAUUCUUGUUAUCAUUAUUAUUGUGCAGAAUAAAAUGCUUACCCUAACUUUUAACUGAUUGUGCAUAUGUUGUAUGUGUGCUAACCUGAAUCAGCACUCUGGUGUACCACUAAAAAUUAAACGCCUUGCUCGUGAUCCUGAGAGAUUCAUUUGGGCAUUGAGUAUGGCACAAUCACGAUGCAUUGGCAUGCAAAUGAGAAUUGGUGCACUUGUUCAAGAUGCAAACAUGCUAAUUCCAUAUGCAGGUAAGCUUGUAUCCACCUAUACUCUUUGAUUAAAAAAAAUUUAUCGUGAAUAUAUUAUAAAAUUAGAUGAGUAAUCGCAAUUUAGAGGGGGGAAUCAAGAACUUAUCUUUGUCCUAAUGAGUUAUAUAUAAUGUUCUUAAUCCAGUUUUGUUUUUCUCUUAGACAUCUUUGUCCAUUUGAAAUUGGUAAGAUGUCGAUGAAGACACAACAUUGUGUAUGAAAUUUAUUUUCUUUUUGCAUUAGUUGUAUUAUGUACGUAUACUAUUUCUGUUUUCACUUAUUGGGAUUUCGAAGCAAAUGAUUUCCUUAAACUACCUGCGUUCACUUACUAUUUAUAUUCCCCAUUUUGUUAUUAGAUGGCUGUCUAAUCAAUUUGCUAAAUUCUGCAGAUAUGCUAAACCAUUCCUUUGAGCCAAAUUGUUUUUUCCAUUGGCGUUUUAAGGAUCGCAUGCUGGAAGUGAUGAUAAAUGCUGGAAAACGGAUUAAGAAAGGUGACGAGGUAAUGCCUAUUCUGUUUUCUCAAUUGAUGUUGAUAAUUUCCUUUCAUAAGUAAAUGCUUGCAAGGAGUCUUAUGCUAAGGCUUUUAGUUUACAUAUAUGAAGAUGAUCUGCUACUAAUUUGGAGGAAUAUUUACAGAUGACUGUCAAUUACAUGAGUGGACAACAGAAUGACCUGUUGAUGCAAAGAUAUGGUUUCUCUUCACCUGUGGUAAUGUGCUCUUGGCCAUAUUCUACUAAAAAGAAAUACUAUAUACCUUUUUUUUUCUUUUAUCCUAUUCUUUUACUGAUUUGAAUUGUCAAUCUAGUCAAGUUAAAGAGUAACAUGGUAAAAGAAAGAGAUUAUUUUUCUUCUUUCUACUUCGGUUGAGCAUGUUCCAUAAUUGUGGUGAUAUUUGUACUUCUCUAAAAUUGAGUGCUCUUAUUCUGGCUUGGAAUUGCAGAAUCCUUGGGAUGUGAUUCAGUUCUCCGGAAAUGCACGUAUUCAUUUGGAUUCCUUCUUGUCAGUAUUCAAUAUAUCUGGACUUCCUGAAGAGUACUAUCAUAACAGUAUGAGAUCUCUCUGUGCCUUGUUCUAUAUUUGUUGUCAUAUAAAUUUUAAACCAAGCAGCAUCAUAGUUUGAAAGGUCUGUAUAAAACUUAUAGCAGGUCGCCUAUCUAAUGAUGGAGAUACUUUUGUUGAUGGAGCAAUCAUAGCAGCGGCAAGAACAUUGUCCACUUGGUCAGAUGGGGAUGUGCCUCCAAUCCCAAGCAUGGAAAGAAGAUCUGUAAAGGAGUUACAGGAAGAAUGCCGACAGAUGCUGGCAGUGUAUCCUACUAACUCUAAGCAAGACCAAAAAAUUCUAGGUGAGGUUGCCAUGCAGAUCGUCAAAUAUUUGGGGAAACAUCGUGGCCAUUAUAUUUUUCUUGUUUUGGUUUCUGUGGUAACUUAUGGGUAAAACCAACUCUAUCUUGGCAUUGGAAAUUCAUGUUUCUUCCCAUCUUACUCUCUACAGAUUCGAUGUCAGAUGCUAGUAGGACACUUGAAGCUGCAAUCAAGUAUGUAAUCAUCCCAUUAUUCAUCCCAGAGCUUUUUGGUCUGUAGGGCAAACUAGGGCAAACUAAAACCAUUCUGAAUGAUUUAAUUGCUGAUCCGGACUUAUGCAGGUAUAGGUUGCACAGGAAGUUGUUCGUAGAGAAGGUCAUGCAAGCGCUGGAUAUAUACCAAGAGCGGAUGUUAUUCUGAUAAAACUUGCAAGUUUACGAAAGCUAGGAAAUUUUUGUGGCAUGCCAAUUGGCCAAAACUCUGCUGGUGACAGGAAUUUUCAUGUCUAAAAUAUAUGAAUGUGGGCAGAGAUUUUUCUAGUUUUUCUUAUCUUUUCAAAUGGUAGCUGAUCAUGUUAACGAACCUGCUGGUGGUUGGUAGGACGAAUGUGACAUGAAAUAGAAAACAGAAAAAGGGCUGCAAAUUGAGUGAAACAUAUGAUAUCAUUUGUUUGACACUAGUGCAAAUUGAAUACUUUUUUUUUUUUUUUUACUUCUUUGUUAAUGGGGAGAUAGUCUUGAAUUUCACACCUAUUCCUUUCUUUUAAACUAUCGAACGAGUUGUGUAGUGCAACAAAUGUGAUCAUGUACCUUUCUACGACUUCUAUGAUGACUAACAGAAGAAUUGUGCCUUCUAAAGUGUUAAAAUGCACCCUUGCAUCGCCUAGAGAUUUUACAUGAGAUUUCUUGCGUACUAUUGAACUUAUGAAUGUCCAGUUAAUGGUUGAAACUUAUGUGAACUUUUGCCUGUGAUUAGGAGUUUAAAUUUAUGAUUUAUCAGUAAAACUUUCAUGUUACAUGCUUCAUACUCAUUCAAUAAUGUCUAUCCCAUCGGAGAAAUAUGAAAGGUUUUCUCCUUGACCAGCUUGUUAAAAAGUUUUAAUUAAAUAAAUAUGUAUUUGUGACACAAUUUCUCAUUCACGGAAAAAUAUUUGUCAAACUAGCCAACUUAUAUGUUUAGGUGCUUCCAAUAUCCCACCUAUACAAGCAUAAAAGUGAAAUUCAUUGGAUGUCUAAUAAUCCUAUCACAGUAGGCAUGCAACAUGGGCGUUAAACAAGGAUUUUGAAACAUCUUCCUAAUUGUGGACACAAGGCAAGCAGAAUCUUGUUUCACAAUCCUUUUGUUUUUGUCUUAUUUGAUUUUCCUCUGCUUUUAUGUGUGUUGUUAUCAUUACAUCGAUCCUUGAUUUUCUUCAAACCAAAAUUUACAUCUGAGCACUUUCAUCUACACACAGAAAAGUGUUAUGUGAAGAAAAUCUCAUGUAUACAGAUAUCUCCCAAAUUCAUCCUAAACUGGUUUCGUGUAAUCGAAGUGGUCCUUCCCCUGCUUUGCCUAAGAGCUAGCUAAUAAAUGGAGAUGAGUAUCCACAGGAAGCUUUUGCAUGAAAACUGUCCGGCUUAAGGAUGCCUUUUCACGGAAUUGAUUCUUUAGCUUUUGUUUCUGCAUAUAGCAGCAACAUUUUUUAGAGACAAUUGUUGACAACAUGCUAACUGGAAGGAAGACUGCUCACAAAGUCAAAGAUUUAGUUACCUUAUGCUGAGCCAUGUCGUAGAGGUUCUGCCUCGGCGGUAUGGACUUGAUUGGCUUGCUGACUGUCCAAAGGCAUGUAUUGGGACAUGAUAGCCAUGAUCUCCGAGUCCAUGUAAGACUGCAAGUGCAAGUAAAAAAUUUUAACAAGGGCACAGUUCCUAGUUUAGUAUACAAAUUAACUAAAGAUGAAAAAAAGAGCUGGUCAAAGGAGCAUCUUUAGACAUACUCGAAGCCUGUAUUUGUAGAAGAUAUAACCAGCUAGGCCAACUCCCACCACAGCCGCAAGGACCAAGAAAGUUAAAAACCAGGCAAAUCUCGACCCGUGCCUCUCUGCAUUUAAAUGGAUGAACAAACAUGAAGACAUAUAUCUUGCAGGAUGGCCAACAUCCCCAUCGGUUUGAAAUUAAGUAUCAACGUCGCCCGGUGACAAUCAACACAAGGCCCGCCAUAUAAUGAGCUAAUUGGAGCAUUAAAGAGAAAGACUGUCAUAUUAACAUUUAAAUAAAAAUUCGACAGCGUUUAGGAAAGAAAUUUACAAUCAUGUUCACAUUUAAAUAUAGUUUUACUGAUCCUCUAAAUAAACAGUGAUGGCUAUCUCAUCAUGUGAAUAUCAUAAUUAGUCAUUGACAUAACAAUGAAUUAGUGAUUAUGACUCAAAUGUGCUGUCUUACCAAUACAAGUAUCUUGAUCCUUCAUAUACAACUGUCCUCCCUUACAUUUGCAGUAGUACCCACCCCAAGUGUUCUUACAGCUGCAACCAUCACACUGACAAGCAGUACGCUCCUUGCAUUCGUUUAUAUCUGAUGCACGGUGAGAAAACAAAAAUGAAGAUGAUGUUUUAUGGAUAUUAGGUUUCAAAAAGCCUUGAAAAAUUGAAUAUUUAUUCCACAAGAAGAAAAUUAUUCUUCAAUAGAUUAGUCACGUUGGAACUCAAAAUCACCUUCACAUUUAUGACCAUCCCCUUGAAAGCCUUGUGGACAUUUGCAGCCAGAUAACUCAGAAUUCUGUUUGUAUAACAAAGGGAAAAAUAAAAGAAUUUAGAGAAAAAAAAAAUAAAGAAGGAAAAACAUGAAGUUUGGAGGUCUAAUCUCAUGAAACUGCAACAGAACUCUCUAUAAUAAAUACGUUUAAAAACAAAACAAAAAAUGAGAAAUCUGUCCCAGAAGCACAGAGAACCACUAAUUAAGUGAAAGAUUAUGAUAAACAUCACUGAACUGAGCAAGCCGAGAAUAUUAAUCCAUUUCUAGAGUCUGACCAGCACCCUCCAUUGUUUAUUGCACACCUUGCAGGUCCAAAAGCUGUCAAGAAAGGAGUAAAUAUUUUAGGAAUAACUCUCUUCCACAAAUUAAUCAAAAGGAAGAUUUGCUUCUUCUAUUUUUGUUAUUAAGAGAAGGUUUACCAUGACAAGAUGUAUAACCAUUGCCUCGAUACUGAACACCGCUCACUACAGGGCACUCACAAACUCUUCCCCUAAAUGUGUCCUGACAAAAGGAACCAAUUAACAUGCACUUAGAAUCUGUAAUUCAUAUAGGAACAUUGUCAUAGGUGGCAUAAACUAUAAAAGUCAAAUGUAAAAUUUUAUGCAUACCUUGCAAGCAGUUAAAUUAGAUUUGUUGUCCUGCCAACACCCACCAUUCCUCUCAAGACACUCAUUUGUCUCAAGAUCUGUUGAAGUAACACAAAGGAUUGAGAGGAGGAAAGGGAAGGAGAGGAAAGGAAAAGGAAAUCAGUACAUUAUCCAAACAUCAAGAAACAGACAUCAGUAUAGACUGGAAAAUGAAACAAGCACACCAACCUCCGCUCAAACAAAUUGGAGGAUCAGCUGUCUCCUUAAAUCCAGCACAUAUAGCCUUUAGCACAGCAGUUCUCUCCAAUUUUCCUUCAGAUCAAUAAAAACAAAAACUUUAGCAUUCUGUUGAAGUAUAAUCAAUAGAGGUACCAGGGAAGCUGUAACAAACCUCGAUACUGAACAUUAUUAAUAACCAAUGUUGGCAAGAUGGUAACAUCACCACGAGAUCCUCGCCCAACCUAAAUAUAACAAAGAGAAAAAGGAAAGCAAUAAUAAGAUAAUCUGUUGAAUAUUGUGGUUACAUGUACAUUGAUCCAAGAACAGUGGUGGGUCUCAACAAAAAGAGGUAAAGAACAUAGGGAAAUGGAGAAAAAGAAGCAAGUAUGACCUGGAUUUCUUGUUCUGCUUUCAGCACUGCAUUCUCAACAUCAUCUUCUGGAUUGCCCAUACAUUUUUUAAUCUUGUCAACAGGUAAAUCUGCAGCAAUCAGAUUAAAUAUAUUAAAAACACAAAACAAGCAUUAUUCCAUACACAGCAAUAACAAAACAUGCCAUUUACCAAGUGAUUUCAUGACAUCCUCAGCGCAUUCUUUGCUGUACUUCUUUUCUUUCAUGGAACAUCUGAUAUGGAAGUCUGUCACAUAAUCCCACCAAACCCAUGACCGGUUGCUCUCAUUCGCAACUCUAUGUACACAAAGCUGCCUCAAGUUCUCAUAUACUACAUCCUUCCCUUGAUACCCUUCCCCUAAAUCUUUCUCUGGAUCUGGUGCACAGUAUCUCCCAUGGUUUAUGCACUGCGACUUGCAUUGAGUUGUAAGGGUGAAAGCCUGAGGGCAAUACCAAGUUAUAUAAUGUGGAGUGAAGAGAGUGUAACCCCCUCUCUCAAGAAUCUGAGCAUGGCCCUUGAAAUUUUUCACAAAAGUCAUUUGUUCAUCGCAUCGAGCCCCGCACUCAUCAUUGCUGUUUGUCCAGAACUCGUAUUCAACUCUUUGAUCGGGGUGGGGGACUGACUCUCUCCAGUCAAGUUUCACCACAACAUCGUUGCUGUUCUUUAAAGCUUCCUUCAAGCUAUCACCAAAGGAUUUCUCUAUCAAAGCAGAUGGAAUUCUUAUCUUCUCUAUGUAACCAUCUGCAUCAGUGCUCUCCUCUGGAGAAUCCAUUGUUAUUAGAGGCUCUUCAAUAUUGUCAGCCACUAAAACAGCUGUAGCUCCAGCCUCUUGAGCAUUCCAGACCUUCAAAGCAAAGUAGCAACCUACAAGGGCAAUAGAAUAAAGUUGUCUGAGUAGAAUCCAAGAAGCAUGGUUCUGUAACAUACGACUCACAACAAGGUUCAAUUGCUUAUGAUUAGACAAUGUAAAAGGCUAUUGGAAUUAUUGUUCUGAUUCAUUUCAUCCAAUUCAGGAUUUAAAUAGCAACCAUAGCGUAAAGAAAUGAAAGUUCAUGCGGCUUUGACCCCAGAAAUAAAAACAAAAUGAGCAUCUGAAUUGGACAGUUAGAAAGAGUUCAGUAUCUAUUUCACAUCAAUUGAACAGUUAAUGAAAAGCUAAAACCAAAAGGCAAUAGAAUAGAAGACUGAAAAGAGACUUUUGAUGAGUCGAUGUUACUAAAAUAGAACUAAGGGUCGGAGAACAGGGGAAAAGCAGAGCUACUACAUGAAAGCAUGCUUAAAUUCACAACCUCCAAUAACGAAUCGAAAAAAAGAAACCAUUUUUGAAAACAUCUCAUGCUAGCUGGAGCAGUCACUAAAUUGAACAAAUUCAAUUCAAACAAGGAAACUUAAAGCUCACCCUUCUCCAAUCUGUAGGAAUUCAAAACACACGACAAAAAAGGAAAUUAAACUAUAAAAUAAAAUUAAAAUUAAAAAACCGUUGCAAAAAAAAACAAAUACCCAUUUCUAGACAGACUUUAUUGCAUGAUCAUCAAUCAAAUUCUUAAGAAGCAUAGCAAUGGGGGAAAAUGAUCUCGAUUCUCAAGUCAAACUUACUGAGACAUCAGGAGAGAGAGCAUAAGGACUCUGAAAUUUACGAAUUGCAGAGAGAAAUAGAAUGAAUUGAUUUACCUCCACGAUCAAGAACAGCAAUGGUGGGGCGAGAAUUCCGAGACUUGAAAGGUUUAUCACCCUCAAAAGCUUCACACCCAUGAGACCCUUUCUCAGGAUAAACAACAGCACCCACCAAAGAGCCUCCAUAGUCUGGCAGACCAAAGUUGCCUAUAGCACCAUCAUGCUUAGAACUAAGACUCAUUGGAUACAGAACACUAAUACUACCCGUCUCCACCACAAACCGUGCAUGAACAUGGCUCUGGAGAAUUGCUAAUACCACAAGCAAAGCUGUAAGCUUUGGGAGAAAAGCCAUGCAAGCAGAGGCGCUGAUCACCUGCUAUGGCGAGGCUCCUCUGUGUUUUUGGCUUCUGUGUGUUUUGGGGUCUGAGAAGAGGUGGAGGCAAAUGAGGACGUGUCUGAAUGGAUUUUGCAACGGUCUACGGGUGGAGAGUGGUGAAAUAAGAAAGGUUGGUCGAGAGAGAGAGAGAGAGAGAGAGAGAGAGAAAGAGAGGUUUGUUUGUCGUAUAAGAGGGGUUUGGCUUUCUCUUUCGAGCUGUAACGUAAAGGAAACGGGACAGGUGAGAGAGAAGAAGGGUGGUAGACGGAGUCAUAGGAACCACUUCUACUAGGAAUCUCUUGGCAGAGGAGAGAGAGAGAGGGAGAGAGAGAGAGAGAGAGAAGAAGAAGAAGAAGUCAUACAAGUUUUUAAUGAAUUUUAAGUCUUAAAUUCAUCGAUUGGACAAACAUGUGUGUUUUUAAUGCUUAAGUUGUUAUUUAUGUAUUUCUUCAUUUUGAAGGAAACAGAGUUUUGCUUCUUAAAAUUUAUUUGAUGACAGAAUUAAUUAGUGUAGGUAGAAUUCAUAGGGACUAUGACGUUUCUGCUAUGGACCAAUUUUAACUGCCAAAAUCACUGUUAUUUUUAUACAAGCACUUAAUUAUAAAGUUUAAUUGUGUGUAGCUAUAUUCUAAGAAAUACAAGCACUUUAAUUAAAAGUGAUUAUAGCUUUUUAACAAUAAAGUUUGUCCUUUUCAAUCUGAAUCUUUCUGAUUGGACUUUCUCCUACAUGCUUUGGUGACUUGAAGAUUCAACAAUGAAAGUACACCAAGCUAAGCAAUAUCUAAUAGACUUCCCAUUAAUUAUUAAACUACUUUUAUUUGUGAGAUAACCAAUGUUAGACUUUUUAGCAUAUUGAUAUAAAAAAGCAGAAUGAUGCAAGCAGAUUCAUUUUUAAAAUGUUUAGGUAUAGCUGCAUUCAUGCUUUGCAUGAUGUUUUGAUCUGAUUCCAAAUUUACUUUAAGUUUUUAUGAUCAGCCUAUCUAGGUCAUGUUUCAUGCCUUAAGCGAUUGAUUAAGGAUUGACAGAUGGAGAUUAAGUCCUUAAAAGAUAAAGUUUUGAUAUGUCAAUUUUUAAAAUAAAUUGUUGUCAUAAUACACAUAUUUACUCUUGCUUCUUUCUAUCAUGGUUUUCUUUCUUUUUCACAAAUUUGAAAGUGAUUUCUCAUCACAUAAACUAAUCGAAACCCGAUUUCCAAUACUCACUUUUCUACAUCUUUAUAUUAAAGAAACAAGGGUUUCUCCGAAUUCAAGCAAAAAUGAUAUCUAAUUAUGAUUAAUUAGGUUGAUUUCCAAUACUCACUUUUCUACAUCAUUUUAAUCCAACGUUUGAUACUGGAUAAUUCAGAUGAGAUGUCCACCCCUACGCCUACGCGAUACACCCAAUUAGACAUAAUAGCAUGUUAGAAAUGAGAUUUUACAUAUGGCGCAAUAAAAUUGCUUUACAUAUAUUCUACAGAAUAGGUCAAUUGUAUUAGGAUAAGAAAGGAAAAAAUCAAAGCAAAAAGAGUAAGGGGAGGACUUGACCAUAAAAUUUCUAUAUCUCAAGUCGUCUCUAGAUAGUCAAAGAUAAAAUUGCUGACCUUGCAAGGCAAGUGUUUUGGAGUGUUUAAUGGGGCAAGCAAUUAUAAUAUGCCUCGCCACUGCAGGAAUUUAAUCUGCUCACCGACUGCAUCUCAUUGGACAGAAGAAUCAUGGGUCAACUUCAUUUGUGAGCUCAUUGAUCCUUUUGUUUUUCCUUCUAAUCACAACUGGUAGGUUACAUAUGAAUCCACGCCACAUGUUUCAGUUAAUUGGCUAAUACAAGCGUGACAAAUUAUAAUCCAAUUCCAAGUGGUGAACUAAUUUGCGCGUCGCUUACAUUGAUAUAACCGUCAUUACAUUUAAAAGGCAUAUUUGGAGGGCUACCCCUAUGUGGAUUAUUAUUAUAUUUUUUCCAAAUCAAAUCGACUAAUUCCAUUUCCCUUGGAGGGAUGCGACUAAAAUAGUGAAAACAUAUGCCCCACAUUGGAUCAAUAUAAAAUUAACAAACACGGCCAAGAAAUGGCUACAAACCAACUUAACAGAAGACAUAUCUCAACACAAAGAAAACGCAGAGUCUCCCCCUGAUUGUUGCAGAACGCAUAUCACUCACUUCAAUUCAUAGCAAUCUGUAGUUGAUUGCGACCGUAUAGCCGAAAAACCAAGAACGAAAACUAACAGGGAAAAAGAGCAUACUCGUCUGCAAAAUAGCAUCAAAACAAAAUGGAACUUGCAGUUUCAACAGAAAACCAUCCAUAAAUCCUGCUCAAAUUCAAAGUUAACACAUGACAUGGGCUCUCGAUUACAAUUUUCGGAGGAUAACUCUCAAGUAUCUAUAAAAUAAAACCAGAAUACAAGACAGCCUUAAAGAUAGUCAUAUCCCAUUGUGGGUACAAUUGGGCAUUCAUCUGCUCAUAGAGUUAAAUAUGACGCUUCU
rnacentral:lncRNA from 1 species